rnacentral:rRNA from 1 species
UACAGAGGGGGCAAGCGUUGUUCGGAAUUACUGGGCGUAAAGGGCGCGUAGGCGGCCCGCUAAGUCGAACGUGAAAUCCCCGGGCUCAACCCGGGAACUGCGUCCGAUACUGGUGGGCUCGAAUCCGGGAGAGGGAUGCGGAAUUCCAGGUGUAGCGGUGAAAUGCGUAGAUAUCUGGAGGAACACCGGUGGCGAAGGCGGCAUCCUGGCCUGUUCUUGACGCUGAGGCGCGAAAGCUAGGGGAGCAAACGGG